UACGGGAGGCAGCAGUGGGGAAUAUUGCACAAUGGGCGAAAGCCUGAUGCAGCUAUGCCGCGUGUAUGAAGAAGGCCUUAGGGUUGUAAAGUACUUUCAUCGGGGAGGAAAAACAAAACUAAUAAUUUUAUUUCUUGACGUUACCCGAAAAGAAGCACCGGCUAACUCCGUGCCAGCAGCCGCGGUAAUACGGAGGGUGCGAGCGUUAAUCGGAAUUACUGGGCGUAAAGGGCACGCGGGCGGUUAAUUAAGUUGGAUGUGAAAUCCCCGGGCUUAACCUGGGAAUGGCAUUCAAGACUGGUUAGCUAGAGUCUUGUAGAGGGGGUUAGAAUUCCAUGUGUAGCGGUGAAAUGCGUAGAGAUGUGGAGGAAUACCGGUGGCGAAGGCGGCCCCUGGACAAAGACUGACGCUCAUGUGCGAAAGCGUGGGGAGCAAACAGGGAUUAGAUACC
rnacentral:rRNA from 1 species